GCGGCGAUGGUGUAACGGUCAGCAUCUGGGCUUCCCAUGCCUAGGACAGGGGUUCAACUCCCCUUCGCCGCA
rfam:Pestalotiopsis fici W106-1 unplaced genomic scaffold PFICI_Scf_17, whole genome shotgun sequence.